UACGUAGGGUGCGAGCGUUUGUCCGGAAUUACUGGGCGUAAAGAGCUCGUAGGUGGUUUGUCGCGUUGUUCGUGAAAAACUCACAGCUCAACUGUGGGCGUGCGGGCGAUACGGGCAGACUGGAGUACUGCAGGGGGAGACUGGAAUUCCUGGUGUAGCGGGUGGAAUGCGCAGAUAUCAGGAGGAACACCCGGUGGGCGAAGGCGGGGUCUCUGGGGCAGUAAACUG
rnacentral:rRNA from 1 species